GUUGAUGUAGCUUAAAAUUAAAGCAAAGCACUGAAAAUGCUUAAAUGAGUUAUUAACUCCAUAAACA
rnacentral:tRNA from 1 species